rnacentral:rRNA from 1 species
UACGAAGGGAGCUAGCGUUGUUCGGAAUCACUGGGCGUAAAGCGCACGUAGGCGGAUGUGUCAGUCAGGGGUGAAAUCCCGGAGCUCAACUUCGGAACUGCCUUUGAUACAGCACGUCUUGAGUCCGAUAGAGGUGGGUGGAAUUCCUAGUGUAGAGGUGAAAUUCGUAGAUAUUCGGAAGAACACCAGUGGCGAAGGCGGCUCACUGGUCCGGUACUGACGCUGAGGUGCGAAAGCGUGGGGAGCAAACAGG